UGAAGUAAAAUAAAUUCCAUUAUACUUUAUUUUGACCAUAUGAUCAACACUUGUACAUAGUGCCAUUUACUUUGUGUUCUUCACUCUUGCGUUGUGUUUUGAUCGUUCGAAACUCAUUGCCAGAACGAAUGCAAAUUUCAUUUGGGAAGGAUCGGUGCCGGAAGAUGCAGUGAAAAUUAUAAAAUGUUAAUAGAAAAGUGGUUAAGUAAAUCGUGAAAGAUGUCAACGCAGGCGUAAAUGCAGUUUGUUUUGUUACUUGAUCUACGGCAAUUUCAUUACCAAAGCACCUGAUAACCGAUCAAAGAAGGUGAAUCGGGCUUAUAGAGUCGCCGUUUAACUUCAAAUAUCUUCGUGAUCGGAAAACGCAUCAAACACCAAGUGUUUUUCUUCCAACAGCACGCGCCAUCGGUGGAGCAAGCAGCCAACGUUUCGUUCGUCUAGCACGCACCAUCAAGAAUUGAAAUAUUCCCGAAUAGCUCUGUGAAUAAAAAACUGCACACUUACUGUCCGAA